rnacentral:rRNA from 1 species
GAUGAACGCUAGCGGCAGGCCUAACACAUGCAAGUCGAGGGAGGAGCUUUCGGGCUUCGACCGGCGUACGGGUGCGUAACGCGUAUACAAUCUGCCUUUCACAUAGGGAUAGCCCGAAGAAAUUUGGAUUAAUACCUAAUAGUAUAUAGAUGUGGCAUCACAUUUAUAUUAAAGCUGAGGCGGUGAAAGAUGAGUAUGCGUUCUAUUAGCUAGUUGGAGAGGUAACGGCUCCCCAAGGCGACGAUAGAUAGGGGUUCUGAGAGGGAUAUCCCCCACACUGGUACUGAGAUACGGACCAGACUCCUACGGGAGGCAGCAGUGAGGAAUAUUGGACAAUGGUCGGAAGACUGAUCCAGCCAUGCCGCGUGCAGGAAGACGGCCUUAUGGGUUGUAAACUGCUUUUGCAGGGGAAGAAUAAGGAGUACGUGUACUUUGAUGACGGUACUCUGCGAAUAAGCAUCGGCUAACUCCGUGCCGGCAGCCGCGGUAAUACGGAGGAUGCGAGCGUUAUCCGGAAUCAUUGGGUUUAAAGGGUCCGUAGGCGGGCUAAUAAGUCAGAGGUGAAAGCGCUCAGCUCAACUGAGCAACUGCCUUUGAAACUGUUAGUCUUGAAUGGUUGUGAAGUAGUUGGAAUGUGUAGUGUAGCGGUGAAAUGCUUAGAUAUUACACAGAACACCGAUAGCGAAGGCAUAUUACUAACAAUUAAUUGACGCUGAUGGACGAAAGCGUGGGGAGCGAACAGG